UUCUAUUGAUUUCUGUCGGUUUCAGUCGUCCCUCCGUCCGUUCAAGUCACCAGUUGCCGAUCAGGAAGCUACCCCCUCCAUUCGUCCAGUCGCCGGACGCGGGGCAGCCAUCUUCCUGACAAAACAAAGGCAGAGACCAAGGAAAGAGAGUUGCUACGAGGGUAAGUAUUUUCUUCAUUUUUUAUAUUUAACUAUGGCUCAAAUAGCGGCUAUGGUCUAGUUUUAAAUUUUAGAUGAGCAUGUAUCCAGAUAGUAAAUGAAGAUUAGGUUGAGGGAUAGUUGUGUUCCAUCUCAUUUUAUUGUUAAUUAUAUGGUGAUGAUCUGGAGUCGUUUACAUAUUGUUGUGUUUGAUUUGCUUUUUAGUUGUUUAAAAUUCAAUAUUCUAUAUUAUCAUGUUAAAAUUCAAUGUCCUAAUUAUAAAAUUAUAGGUUUUGUUAAAA